rnacentral:rRNA from 1 species
AUUGAACGCUGGCGGCAGGCUUAACACAUGCAAGUCGAGCGGAGUGAUGGUGCUUGCACUAUCACUUAGCGGCGGACGAGUGAGUAAUGCUUAGGAAUCUGCCAUUUAGUGGGGGACAACAUUCCGAAAGGAAUGCUAAUACCGCAUACGUCCUACGGGAGAAAGCAGGGGAUCUUCGGACCUUGCGCUAAAUGAUGAGCCUAAGUCGGAUUAGCUAGUUGGUGGGGUAAAGGCCUACCAAGGCGACGAUCUGUAGCGGGUCUGAGAGGAUGGUCCGCCACACUGGGACUGAGACACGGCGCAGACUCCGACGGGAGGCAGCAGUGGGGAAUAUUGGACAAUGGGCGGAAGCCUGAUGCAGCCAUGCCGCGUGUGUGAAGAAGGCCUUUUGGUUGUAAAGCACUUUAAGCGAGGAGGAGGCUACUAGUACUAAUACUACUGGAUAGUGGACGUUACUCGCAGAAUAAGCACCGGCUAACUCUGUGCCAGCAGCCGCCGCAGUAA